AAGUCAGCUGCUACUCAAUACUUAAUAGCAGAGGGACCUAGUAGGCUAACUUGUAGAACUUUGCUAUACAAUCCAAUCUUCCUUUGGUGAAGGUUGUGAUUGCGAGUGCUCUGAGUUUCUAAUGUUGCCCCAUUCGGGGGAAAAAAUUGACCUUGUAGUGCCAAAUGCUGUGUGCUCUGUGAUUACGGUGGAGCUACUGCUCUCUGGAGCUCUUUGGCAUUAGGAAAGGUGGUUGAAUUUGUUGAUAAACAAUUUGAUCUGAUAUCGGGGCAUGUGAUGUCCCAACCAAAUGAUGUUGGGGACGUGAAGAACUUGCCAUAUUUGCUUUGAUUCGAUUGUGCAGCGUGUGCGGUUUCUUUCCUUAAUAACGUGCUGCUAAUAACGGACUGAAGGCUGUUCGUGGUUCUUAAGGGACAGGUUUUUUCCGCGAGUCUCUUGGCAUCCUUGGGGGCUUUGUGGCCUGGUUGUGUUUUGACUUGUGAGCUGGUGAAUUUUUCCACCUCUUCGAUAACUAGUUGGACAAAGCUACAUCCGGUGUAUGAUGCUAGUGUCUCUAAUCCAAGCUCAACUUGCCUCAUGUCCCUAAUCUCACCCAUACAAGGAAUGGCAUUCUACUCGUGUGUCCCGUUUUUGCUUU